rnacentral:lncRNA from 1 species
AACAAGAUAAAGUGGCCAAGGCAGUGGAGUAGUACAAGGCCUCCAAAGAGUUCAGGACAAGAUAACUGAGAGCUCUGAGGAGGCAUACGACUUCGGAUUCUAUCAGUGUCGGAAUCUGAUCAAGAAGUUAUUUUUCAAAGUCGACAUUUCUAAGGUGACUCCAAAGAUCGCCAUUGAAAUGGGUAUUCAAGAGGAGCUUGAACCAUCUACUAA